AAAGUCCAAAUAAAGUCGUCCAACUCCCAUACAUUGGUUUAAAAUUUCGGGGUUCAUGAAGUACUAGACCAAAAAACUAUAAUACCUUCGCAUAAUGGUACCUUGCUCUCUACUACAAAUUAAAAAUCUAGUACUCUGCUUAUGUUGCUAUGAGUAACAAACAAAUGUUUCAAAUAUAAACACGAAAAAAAUAGAUUCUGGUAAGUAACGUAUUGAGUAAUCAUUUCGUUCAAAGAAUUAUUAAAUAUUUGAUUUAUUUUAGGAAAAUGAGAUUUUUGAACUUGCAGGGUGGACGAAAGAGUUUCAAACACGUGCGAUGACCAAACAGGAUUUCAGCGGGCGAUUUUCCACCAGGUGCACCGCUGCUACAACUGAGCGCGCCUCGUGAAGCGGGUUCACGUAACUAACCAAAAAUCUCCAAAUUAUAAAAUGGCCUCUGCAAACCCGGCCGGAAGUUUCCCAGAUUUUCACCUGAAUCUGUAUUACCCAAAAACUCCACGGCAUAUGAAAACAAAAAAAUGCGUGUAAAUUUGAACGCAUGAAGCAAUUUUGUGUCAUGUAUUUACUACUAGCAAUUAAAAUCUCUUAGUAUCGA